AGCAGCACUUUCUUUGUUUUCUUAUGAGAACUCUUCUCCAGUACGGUUCACUGCUCCUUAGCUCUCUUGAAUGAGUUGGUCGGGCAUAUUAGAUAUGAUUAACACCUCAGGAUUGAUACUUUUUCCUUGUGCUUUUGAUUGGGGGCAGUGAGACCAAUGUUGAUCAUUGCACUAGUUCGGUUUGUUACUUGUCUUCUAUUUAUGCAAUUAAGGGCAUCUUGACUCGUGUUAG
rnacentral:lncRNA from 1 species